rnacentral:rRNA from 1 species
CCUACGGGUGUCAGCAGUGGGGAAUAUUGGGCAAUGGGCGCAACCCUGAUCCAGCGACGCCGCGUGAGGGAAGAAGUAUUUCGGGUUGUAAACCUCUAUCAACGGGGAAGAGAAGAAGAAGGUACCCUUUCUAUAAGCCACGGCGAACCUCGUUCCCGCCGGCCCGGUUAUACGUUGGUGGCAAGCGUUGUCCGGAUUUUCUGGGUGUAAAGGGAGUGCAGCCGGAGAGUCAAGUCAGAUGUGAAAUGCAGGGGCCCAACCCGUGAACUGCCUUUGAAAAUGUUUUGCUUGAGUGUCGGAGAGGUGAGUGGAAUUCCUUGUGUAGCGGUGAAAUGCGUAGAUAUAAGGAGGAACACCAGUGGCGAAGGCGGAUUACUGGACGAUAACUGACGGUGAGGCGCGAAAGCGUGGGGAGCAAACAGGAUUAGAUACCCUGGUAGUC